rnacentral:misc_RNA from 1 species
AGUCCACAGCUGCCUCUUCC